GACGAACGCUGGCGGCGUGCCUAAUACAUGCAAGUUGAGCGCUGAAGGUUGGUACUUGUACCAACUGGAUGAGCAGCGAACGGGUGAGUAACGCGUGGGGAAUCUGCCUUUGAGCGGGGGACAACAUUUGGAAACGAAUGCUAAUACCGCAUAAAAACUUUAAACACAAGUUUUAAGUUUGAAAGAUGCAAUUGCAUCACUCAAAGAUGAUCCCGCGUUGUAUUAGCUAGUUGGUGAGGUAAAGGCUCACCAAGGCGAUGAUACAUAGCCGACCUGAGAGGGUGAUCGGCCACAUUGGGACUGAGACACGGCCCAAACUCCUACGGGAGGCAGCAGUAGGGAAUCUUCGGCAAUGGACGAAAGUCUGAACGAGCAACGCCGCGUGAGUGAAGAAGGUUUUCGGAUCGUAAAACUCUGUUGGUAGGGAAGAACGUUGGUGAGAGUGGAAAGCUCAUCAAGUGACGGUAACUACCCAGAAAGGGACGGCUAACUACGUG
rnacentral:rRNA from 1 species